rnacentral:misc_RNA from 1 species
CACCACUCAAGCCUGGCUUGGUGUUGGGCGACGUCCCCUUUGGGGACGCGCCUCGAAACGCUCGGCGGCGUGGCACCGGCUUUAAGCGUAGCAGAAUCUUUCGCUUUGGAAGUCGGGGCCCCGUCUGCNGNNAGACCUAUUCGCAA